GCCGGGGCGCUCCCAAGACGGGGCACCCCAGCCCACCCCAGCCGCCCCCGGCCCUCCAAGGGGGCCCACCUAGCCAACGCUGGGGAGGCGGUGGCCACGAGUUUGACUCUGGCCUUGUGUCCCAUCAGCCACCUACGUCUGGGCGAGCCACACUGCCUGUCCUAGCCUCGGUUUCCCUGUGUGAAGACCAGGGCCGCUGUGACGACAGAAGGAACAAGGCACGCAGGCGCUCAAUAGCUGGUCCCCACGCCCAGGAGGGCCGCAAAGGUGGCCAGGAGGCCGUCCGGGGUCCAGGCGCUCACCACAGCCUCUCACAGACACCAAUCCUUCCGUUUCACCAAGACCAACGCCGGCCACCACGGCGCGGAAAGGUGGUCGCCGUGCCCCGGCCCUCGGACCCGGGUCCGUGAACUGGGGUUUCAUUGUGGGCCCUCCUAUUGGAGAGUCAUCAGACAUGGGCCCCGGAACUGCACCCUCAGGGCCAACCCGUUGGGCCCCAUCUCUCCUCUGGCCCUUUCUGUGGCCAGGAGCUGAGGCGGUGACCACGGCUGGCUCUGUGCGGGGUAGAGGGGAUGGCGUGGAGCGGCCGUGGCUACGCCUGCCUCCCCGUCAGUGACUAAUGGAGGGAGGGACAGCUCGGGCACCUCAGGCCAGGCUGCCAGGGGAAUGCUUUCAUAUGCCUUAUGCCCGGGCAGGGCCGGUCAUGCCCAGAGUGCGAGUGGUGGGGAGAGAGGGAGGGAGCGAGGACUCUGGCCUCCCUCACAGCCACGUGACCAGCUCGCCAGCUGAUGACAGAGACAAAGCAGGCCCGAACCUGCAGGCCCAGUGCCGGCCCGGAGCCCAGGCGAGUCUGGAUGACGGAUGUGCAACCCCCGUGCCAUGUGCUGCAGCUUCUCUUACCGUCAAACCGCGCGCAGGCUGCAGCCCGGCCCCGUCGUCUUGUUAUCAUUUAAAAUGUAAUUACAAACGGCUGAUCUGAAGGGACAAAUCGCCCUGAAACACGUGGAAGGCGAAUGUAGACUGAAGAGCCCAAAUCAGCAGGUAAAGGUUUCAGCUAACGCCCUCCAGCCCCCUGGAAUCCCGACCUGCGCGGGCCCUUCCCGGGAAGCCAGCGGAAUUCCUUGAUGAACCUGGAGGGGGAAAUCUGUUACUCCUGGGGAAAAAAAAAAAUGGCCUCUUUGCUCGGUCUGUCCGUCUCAGGCACAUGUUUUCUGACCACGGCGACCAGCCGCGCUGGCCGUGAGAGCGGCUGCCGCUGCCCGCGGGUCACAGCUCAGCCCAGAGAGCCUCUCCGGCCGCUGAUUAAACAAACAGAGGUCCCGUCUGCAGCCUCGUCGUCCACGCGGGUUUCUGAGCCGUCCGGGCAGGCCAGGCUCCUGGACCCCGACUCAAACAAGUCUCCAACUCAAACUUUGAAUUUUAUUUUUGAACUACACCCCCCCCCUCCAAUAAAAGGUGAAUAAAAGCUU